AAUAUGGGCAAAUGGGGUAAAGCGUAAUCCAGCAAUCCCGCGUAUGGAAAGAGCCCUGAGGUUUUUAAAGCAUUUUCAAUUGUGAAGAAAUAUUUAAGGUUAAUAACUUUAAUUUUUGACGUUAAUAUUAGAAGAAGCACCGGCUAAUUCCGUGCCAGCAGCCGCGGUAAUACGGAGGGUGCAAGCUUUUAUCGAAAUUACUGGGCGUAAAGCGCGGUAGGGGCUUUUAAGUCAGAUGUGAAAGCCCCGGGUUUAACUGGGAAGUGCAUUGAUACUGGGAGGCUAGAGUAUAGUAGAGGCAGGUGAAUUUCCUGUGAGAGGUGAAAUUGUAGAUAUCAAAGGACACCAGUGGGAAGGCGGCUUUCGGACAAUAUGACAGUGAGGGCGAAAGCGGGGAGCAAACAGAAUUAGAUAUCCCGUUAGUCUCCGCCCUA
rnacentral:rRNA from 1 species